rnacentral:pre_miRNA from 1 species
UAAGGUUGGGGUCUCAGAAGUCAGUGCUCUUGGGGCAUCUCCACCACAGCCUGGACUCUGGUCCUCCUCAGACUCCUCACUCAAGGCACAGGUGA